rnacentral:rRNA from 1 species
GGAAACUUGUGCUAAUACCGGAUAAGUCUUUACGGAGAAAGCUUUAUGCACCAUUGGAUGAGCCUGCACUUGAUUAGUUUGUUGGUGGGGUAAUGGCCUACCAAGACUGUGAUCAAUAGCUGAUUUGAGAGGAUGAUCAGCCACAUUGGGACUGAGACACGGCCCAAACUCCUACGGGAGGCAGCAGUGGGGAAUCUUGCACAAUGGAGGAAACUCUGAUGCAGCGAUGCCGCGUGAGUGAAGA